rnacentral:lncRNA from 1 species
AGAGGAACGAGGGCGGCGGGGACCACAGCUGAUGAGGCUCCGCAGAGAGUGAUCCCCCCCCCCCGAGUUGGAAAGCUAAGUGGACUGUCUCGCUAACUGGGUGGCAGAGAGGUAUGGGUGUCCCCGGGGCUUUUACGCUUCGAAAUGCUAGGGGACAAAGAUCGCAGCAGUGCCUGGCACCGGCAGCCCCUGGGGAGGUGCGAGCAUGGUAGCCCACUAACCAUUCGGGGACCUGAGCGCUCACCUGGCCAUCCAUCGCAGCUCAGCGGCAGAGAAUGCUGUCACCCUGCUUGUUCACGGCGCCGGCCUGGAACAGCAACCCAACACCAAGGGGAAAAACGGUUAGAGUGCGCAUAUCACAGUGUCGCCACCACCCAGGAGACGUCCUGGAAAACUAGGCAGGCGAGCAGAGUCCCCACCCGAGCCCGAAGCUGGGGAAGCCUCCUGUGAUGCAAGGGACACUCCGGAGACGCAGGGCUCCAAGUCCCAACCGCCCUCGGCUCAGGGACCAGUGGAUCACCAAGCCCAGCAGGCGGCUCUCGGUGGAGACGGGAGAAGCGGCUGUCAUUCCCUGAGAGGAGCAAGACCACCCGUAUCUCGCCGCCCCGCCACCUUUCCCGCGAUGCCCAGGGUGCCCCGCCAAGGCUUCUCACCGGGUCAGUGUUGAGCGCGGUGAGUGGGGUCCGCGGCGGCGCGACCGGACAAGCCCCGGCCGGGUGGAGAGGUGGCGCGGGCGGUGGCGGCUGUCUCAGCAAAGCAGGGGUUUCUUUUUAAAAGUCUACAUCUUUGUAAGACUUGCCAUGUUGAAGACAAAUGUCAAAGAGACUUGAUAUGAAAUCUGAAUGUUGCGGUGUGUAUAUCACCAAUGGAUCCCAAAUAUCCCUCACCUGUGAGAGUUUACUGUCCGUGGCCAAGCGACUUUCACAAGAUGAACAUUCAGGAACAGUGCUUCACAGCCGAAAUACACGAGCUCUUCCAGAUUUUAGUCUACACUCUUCAAACAGUAGCAGCCCAGGAGUCUAACAUGUUCCCUUUUCCAUCUGAAAAGAAACUGAGUCUUCUUACUUACAACUACUGAUGUCAUAUAUUCUUGAUCUCUGUGUAUUUUUCUGUCUUGUCUCUAACAAUUAUUUCUUAUAAGCAUGAUUGGCCUCCAGGUUAAUUUCAGGGGGGGGGAAGCUUGUAGUGGGGUUGAGUGAUAUUUUCUGCAUUAACACUAAAGAUUAAAUGUGUGUGUGUGUCUAUGUUUGAGAACAUGUGUGUGCAUGUGUGUGCAUACAUGUGUAUGUGUGUGUUUGCACAUGAAGGCCAGAAGACUACCUCCCUUGUAAUUUUCAAACCACAAUUCACUUCUUUGGAGACAGGCUCUCUCAUUGCCUUGAAGUCUCCCAAUUAGGAUAAGCUGGCUGGCCAGCAAGCCCCAAGGGUCCCAGUCUCUUCCUCCCCAGUACUGGAAUUCCAAGCACACACCAACAUGCCUGGCAUUUCUACGUGGGUUUGAAUUUAGCUCAUCAUGCUUGUAAGAUGGACAUGUUAUCAAGUCAUCUAGCUCCAAGCCCAGAAUAUUAGUUGUUUAUUUGCUUUAAAUGCUAAGACAAACCCCAUGGAAUUGGAGAUCCCUACCAAAAAUUUGCUUCCUAAACAAAUUAAGUAAACAAUACUUUGCAGUUUUUAUCAUUAGUCCAAGAAAGCAUUCUUUUUCUCCCUCUUGACUUUUCCCUUGUUAAUUCAAUGAUUAGGUAUGGAGCACUGUUUAAAAGUAGGGUUUGUGUUCUGGCUUCUGAGCUUGUGAGAAUGCCUCAAUUCUUGAACGAAGUUUUGGGUUCAGGUGUCCUGAGCCCUUUCAGAACCCUUAAGACUUUGAAGGAGAUGUUUUCCUGUCUAGGCCAUGACUUUCUUUUUCUUUUUUUCUUUUUUCUUCCCUUCUUCCUUUGCUCCCUCCUUACACUCCUCUUUUUUAAGAGAAACUUUAAGAACAGUUUUCAAUUUACAGAGACAUUAGAAAGGGAAGAGAUUCCAUACACUCUAUACCUACGUGGCUCUGAUUGCCAACGUCAUUCUUUAGUGUGGUAUAUGUAAUUAGUAUCAAGGAGUUAACAUUAUUAGGAGCUGAAGUCUCUGCUUCAGUCAGACUCCCUUAGCUUCCCCCUAAUGUCCUUGCUCUGUCCCAGAGUCCCAUCUAGAAGCCCACAUUACAUUUAGUCUUCAUCUCUCCUUAACAUUCCUCUUACCUUAUGCCUUUCUCCAGAUUUCCCUUGGCAGUAUGAAAGAGUUUGGUUCUCCCUGAAAAAUAAACAGAAAUAAAGAACUUG